ACUUUAUGAUUCCGAGCGAAGGUUAAAAUGGACAAGAAGGUGCUGUUGUAAAAUGGAGAAUUGAGAAGCAUUAAUAGCCUCUACAACAAGAAGAUAAUACAGGAACGAAGAACUCAUGUCAAGCAUUGACAGCAUACAAAGUCAAUGUUUCCGGUGAUUAGUUGCAUCCUCUGUUCGGUGAUUCGGGUGAAUGUUUUGACCAGCUGGACGAUGUGAACGCAAGAUAAAUAGAACAGACAUAAAGUACAGCCCAGUGAAAGGAACAAGUUCACCGCAAGAAGAAGAAUUUUAAUGCUACCACUGUCCAGAACUACUAUUAAAGUCUGCUGUAGCCAUGAUGUGAUCAUAUGAGUGCUUCACUGGUCUGGACAAUGCUCGAAAGUCCCCCCAAAAGGCCUAUUUCCAUAAACUACGACUCGGGUUACAUCAACAACAGCCAAGGACACUCCUUAUUGAUUCGAAUGGACACAUCUCUACGACCCGACUAAACCUCUGCAGAACAAGACUUUUUAACUGUAAAGUAUUCUCAUUUCAAAAAACCUAUAAACUAUAAAAGUACUUUUUUAUAUGAUCAAAUACCAGUAUAUUACAAUGUCUGUCUGUAAGCUAGAAUCUUAGAAAAUCACAUGGUUUUGACUUAUUAAAUGAUUGAUUAAACCUUGCAGAUAUUAACUUUCAUUUUCUUAAAUAAUUUGUUAUAUUUGCAUAUAUUGCAUAAAAUAUUAGACUCCAUGUAACAUAUAUCCUCACACCUCCAAGUUGAUAAGUGUUAACUACUUUUUUUUCCAUUUUCUUUGUUUAAACAUUUAUUGAUAACUUAGUUUUUAUUUGCAGCAAUAUAUGAAAAAUUAAGAAACCAAUCUUAAAUGUAAAAACACUGCAUUAGGAGAUGAAUGCAUGGGUCAUAGAAAUGAUAAAAUACACCAAACAGUAUUCAAUUAUGUCGUAUAUGAAAAAAUAUAAAGACAACAUAUACCCCAUGUAUUACAAUUUUUAUAUAACAAAAUUACUUGGAUGGAAAGUUGUUUCCAUGUGGGUUUUAUUUUAAUCUGUGUUAUGUAACUAAUAUAUGAUUGGAAUUAGCUUUUAUAUCAUAAGUAAAAUGCUGGUAUUGAUGAGAAUUGUAAGGUGAAUGAUCUGUGUGAUACUUUGUAUUUUAUACAUUCAUGCUACAAAAAGCAAGUACAUGUACAUGUAGUAAUACUUGUCAUAUAUAAACAAUGUAUAUUUUACUUCAUGUCUUGGAUUUAAAAAUAUUAAUGUAGGUAAAGUAGUGAAAUGUAGGAAGGUAAACCGUGUGUAAAGAAGAAUAUUCAUCAGGAAUGAAGUGUGUUGCAAUCAGCAUAAUUAAUUAAAUGUGUACAUCAUAUUUUUGCACAUGAUUUGACAGACUGCUCCAUUGUUAGCUUUUUAUUGGCCAACAAGCUUUUCAUAUCUCCCUAUGGGUCAUCUAUUAAAUACUGACAGGCUUAUGAUAUUAAAAUCUGAUCAGUUGGUACAUCAUGGGUGGAAAUGAAAAGUUCACUUUGGACUUAAUGGAUUAUCAAAAAAAUGAUAUCAAAUCCUGUUCUAUUGUAAAACAUUAGAUUAUAUUACUAACAAAGAAAAGGUUUAUCCCAACUUGUAAGUGGGUCAUUUUGACCUCAUUUUGGAAUUUAUUGACAUAUUCAAAUCAAAUCUGGGUCAUACCUCUAUAGUCAACUACUAUCUUGUAGUGUACAUUUUUUUUUAAAGAUGGAUACUUUAGACUUUUCAAAAAUAUUUUAUGGUGUACAUAUUCAUUGUAGUUCAAAACAAAUUGAGACAAGUGUAUCAUGUUCAUGUAACAGUGAAGUUUUCUUUGUUUAUUCAUGUACUUGCAGUUAUUUUGUAAAUUGCAUUCAUAUUUUUAAAAAAGUAAGAUCUUUGUUGCAUUUUUAAAGGGAGAUUUGAUAGGCAUUUAAUCGAGAUGAAAAAAAUACAAAUGUAAAGAUUUCUAUGGGAGUUUUUUUUCUUGUGCAAUUUUAUCAUUUUUUAAAUAAAAGUCCCUAAUAAGGGAAUUGCCAUAUGGAUGUUCCUCCAUUAUUGUAUCUUGGCUGUAUUUUAUUUAUUAUUGGAAACAAUUUCAGAUUUUUAAACAAAAUAAAUUUGGAACUGUU
rnacentral:sRNA from 1 species